AUUAAACUUGCAGGGGCCCAAGGAUUUGAUAAGGCUCAGAAACAAGCCACCUAACUGCUCAAGGUUCUACCCCAAAUUUUUCCCCCUCAAGUAAAGUGGAAAGCCAUCCAAUGCUAUGUAUAGAAAAAGGACAAAUCUGUCCUUGAUUAUUUCAAUAGAUUCGAAAAAAAUUUCAAAAAAAAUCAGGAAUAAAAGAGCUAACUGAUGAGACCCCAAUAUCUAUUUAAUUCCAUUGCUAUGGCAGGUCUCUCCGAUGUGCUCAAUACUCGGAUUAAACAACAUGAUUUAAAGCUAAACAGCCUUGGGCCGGCCCAGUGGUGCAGCGGUUAAGUGCACACGUUCCACUUCUCAACGGCCCGGGGUUUGCUGGUUCAGAUUCCGGGUGUGGACAUGGCACCGCUUCGCAAAAGCCAUGCUGUGAUACAAGUUUCUCAUCUAAAAAAGGCUCCAGAUCCUACUUCUAAAUGGACUGCUGAACCUGUCACCGAGAAGAGACUGAAACCAACCAAAACCAGAGCACCCUCUCGUGGCCAGGAAGCAGACGACAUCCGAGCUCUUCGAAAAAAUGGGUUCUGUCUAUCGUAGAUGAUCUUCCUGAUGACAAUCUGCCGACUAUGAAGAACAGAUAAAGACAAAGACAGACUGACGCCAGUGGUCAGACCACCAGACCAUGUCUGCAGACCCUAUUCUUCGUCAGUGGUCAUUUGGAUUGAAGCCAACAACCUGCUGUUUCAGCCCAUAUAAUCUUUUCCCUACCCUCCCUCUUUGGAACACCAACUCAAGACCUCCUUGAUCACUGCUUCCCUACAUCCCACAGACUGUAACUGGACGAAAUAAACUUCAACUUCCCUUUAA